rnacentral:rRNA from 1 species
UAUACGACCGUACCGCAAACCGACACUGGUGCGCGAGAUGAGUAUUCUAAGGCGCUUGAGAGAACUCAGGAGAAGGAACUCGGCAAAUUGACACCGUAACUUCGGAAGAAGGUGUGCCCUAUUAGUGUGUAGUGAACAACGAAGCAUGAAUGGGUUGCAAAAAAUCGGUGGCUGCGACUGUUUAUUAAAAACACAGCACUCUGCAAACACGAAAGUGGACGUAUGGGGUGUGACGCCUGCCCGGUGCUGGAAGAUUAAAUGAUGGGGUGCAAGCUCUUGAUUGAAGUCCCAGUAAACGGCGGCCGUAACAAUAACGGUCCUAAGGUAGCGAAAUUCCUUGUCGGGUAAGUUCCGACCUGCACGAAUGGCUUAACGAUGGCCACACUGUCUCCUCCUGAGACUCAGCGAAGUUGAAAUGUUUGUGAUGAUGCAAUCUCCCCGCGGAAAGACGGAAAGACCCCAUGAACCUUUACUGUAGCUUUGUAUUGGACUUUGAACAGAUCUGUGUAGGAUAGGUGGGAGGCUUUGAAGCAGGGUCGCUAGAUCUUGUGGAGCCAACGUUGAAAUACCACCCUGGUGUGUUUGAGGUUCUAACCUAGGUCCAUUAUCUGGAUCGGGGACAGUGCAUGGUAGGCAGUUUGACUGGGGCGGUCUCCUCCCAAAGCGUAACGGAGGAGUUCGAAGGUACGCUAGUUACGGUCGGACAUCGUGACGAUAGUGCAAUGGCAUAAGCGUGCUUAACUGCGAGACUGACAAGUCGAGCAGAUGCGAAAGCAGGACAUAGUGAUCCGGUGGUUCUGUAUGGAAGGGCCAUCGCUCAACGGAUAAAAGGUACUCUGGGGAUAACAGGCUGAUACCGCCCAAGAGUUCAUAUCGACGGCGGUGUUUGGCACCUCGAUGUCGGCUCAUCUCAUCCUGGGGCUGUAGCCGGUCCCAAGGGUAUGGCUGUUCGCCAUUUAAAGAGGUACGUGAGCUGGGUUUAAAACGUCGUGAGACAGUUUGGUCCCUAUCUUCCGUGGGCGCUGCAGAUUUGAGGAAGCCUGCUCCUAGUACGAGAGGACCGGAGUGGACACACCUCUGGUGUAUCGGUUGUCACGCCAGUGGCAUUGCCGAGUAGCUAAGUGUGGAAGAGAUAACCGCUGAAAGCAUCUAAGCGGGAAACUCGUUUCAAGAUGAGAUCUGCCGGGGCCUUGAGCCCCCUAAAGAGUCGUUCAAGACCAGGACGUUGAUAGGUCAGGUGUGGAAGCGA